rnacentral:rRNA from 1 species
UUACGGGAGGCAGCAGUGAGGAAUAUUGGUCAAUGGACGCAAGUCUGAACCAGCCAUGCCGCGUGCAGGAAGACUGCCCUAUGGGUUGUAAACUGCUUUUGUACGGGAAGAACCCCUAGUUCGUGAACUAGGCUGACGGUACCGUAAGAAUAAGGAUCGGCUAACUCCGUGCCAGCAGCCGCGGUAAUACGGAGGAUCCAAGCGUUAUCCGGAUUUAUUGGGUUUAAAGGGUGUGUAGGCGGAAUAAUAAGUCAGAGGUGAAAUCCUGUAGCUCAACUACAGAACUGCCUUUGGUACUGUUGUUCUUGAAUACAGUUGAGGUAGGCGGAAUGUGUCAUGUAGCGGUGAAAUGCUUAGAUAUGACACAGAACACCGAUUGCGUAGGCAGCUUGCUAAACUGUGAUUGACGCUGAGGCACGAAAGCGUGGGGAUCAAACAGGAUUAGAAACCCUUGUAGUCCG